UUACAAGGACGCGUACUACACGUGCUGUGCAUUUGGAAUGGAACUCGUCUCGGUCGAGACGCAUGCCGAGCGUGUUUGUCUGCACAACGGCUUCAUUUGUCAGCGUUUCAACAAAAAUGUAACGGGUUACCAUAUUCAUCAUCUCAAUUUCAGCCACUGGUUGGUCCGGUGUUUCCCUUUGGACCUCGGGGACCAACGUCGGAGUGGGAUGCGUCAACAAAUUCGGUUGGUGCCCUUCAGGAACGUUGUCUACCAUUGAACUGCAUUUUGGCGCAGGAGAGCCGAAUAUGCCCUAUGAGGAAAAUUGCCUCAACUUGCAAGUGAACGGCGGCGAUGCCUCGAAUACCUAUUUCAUUGACUUGUUCUGUAAUAGAACAGCACGUUUUCUUUGCGAGCAACCUGCUUAACUUUGCUGACUUGCUGGGUGUUUACUGUGUCAUUUUAUUUAAUAAUGAGAUGGCCUCAAGAUAGAACGAGUUAAAAAAUGAAAUUAUUGUGUGCGGUGUUCACUCAAAUAAAAUUCAAAUACGACGGA